GACGAACGCUGGCGGCGUGCUUAACACAUGCAAGUCGAGCGGUAAGGCCCUUUCGGGGGUACACGAGCGGCGAACGGGUGAGUAACACGUGGGUGACCUGCCCUCAGCUCUGGGAUAAGCCUGGGAAACCGGGUCUAAUACUGGAUAGUGACUCCAUGACGCAUGUUGUGGGGUGGAAAGCCUUGUGCGGCUGAGGAUGGGCCCGNGGCCUAUCAGCUUGUUGGUGGGGUGANGGGCCUACCAAGGCGACGACGGGUAGCCGGCCUGAGAGGGCGACCGGCCACACUGGGACUGAGACACGGCCCAGACUCCUACGGGAGGCAGCAGUGGGGAAUCUUGCGCAAUGGGCGAAAGCCUGACGCAGCGACGCCGCGUGAGGG
rnacentral:rRNA from 1 species